UACAGAGGUCUCAAGCGUUGUUCGGAUUCAUUGGGCGUAAAGGGUGUGUAGGUGGCGCCGUAAGUCGGGUGUGAAAUCUCGGGGCUUAACUCCGAAACUGCAUUCGAUACUGCGGUGCUUUGAGGACUGGAGAGGAGACUGGAAUUCAUGGUGUAGCAGUGAAAUGCGUAGAGAUCAUGAGGAAGACCAGUGGCGAAGGCGGGUCUCUGGACAGUUCCUGACACUGAGACACGAAGGCCAGGGGAGCAAACGGGG
rnacentral:rRNA from 1 species